rnacentral:rRNA from 1 species
CUGACCCCAUGCCGAACUCAGUAGUGAAACGAAACAGCGCCGAUGAUAGUGUAGCAGCUGCUAUGUGAAAGUAGGUCAUCGCCAGGAU